AUAUAUGUGUGCUUAAUCACCCCCUAAUCGUGUUAAUUAACCAAGUUGCACAAAUUAGUGAAAUGUUAAUUUUUCAAGUGAGGGCAAAAUGGUCACUUCCACAUACAAGCCAAUGCCAGCUCAUGGACAGCUCACACACUCUCAAAAUGACAUGUGUGAGCUGUUGCAACUUGUUUCACUCUCAUUGGAUGCACCAUUCUCAU
rnacentral:lncRNA from 1 species